GAGGUUGUAGCUCAGCGAUAGAGUGUGUGCCUAGCACAUGCGAGGUGCUGGGUUCAAUCCCCAGCACCACA
rnacentral:tRNA from 1 species